GAUGAACGCUGGCGGCGUGCCUAAUACAUGCAAGUCGAGCGAACAGACGAGGAGCUUGCUCCUCUGACGUUAGCGGCGGACGGGUGAGUAACACGUGGAUAACCUACCUAUAAGACUGGGAUAACUUCGGGAAACCGGAGCUAAUACCGGAUAAUAUAUUGAACCGCAUGGUUCAAUAGUGAAAGACGGUUUUGCUGUCACUUAUAGAUGGAUCCGCGCCGCAUUAGCUAGUUGGUAAGGUAACGGCUUACCAAGGCAACGAUGCGUAGCCGACCUGAGAGGGUGAUCGGCCACACUGGAACUGAGACACGGUCCAGACUCCUACGGGAGGCAGCAGUAGGGAAUCUUCCGCAAUGGGCGAAAGCCUGACGGAGCAACGCCGCGUGAGUGAUGAAGGUCUUCGGAUCGUAAAACUCUGUUAUUAGGGAAUAACAAAUGUGUAAGUAACUAUGCACGUCUUGACGGUACCUAAUCAGAAAGCCACGGCUAACUACGUG
rnacentral:rRNA from 1 species